AUCCAUCUGACGAGUCCCAAACAGGGCGAAAAGCGCGUCGUAGAA
rfam:Schistosoma mattheei strain Denwood, Zambia genome assembly, scaffold: SMTD_scaffold0009741